GAAGUUGCGGCUCAGUGGUAGAGCACUUGCGUAGCAUGUGUGAGACACUGGGUUCAAUUCCCAGAACUGCA
rnacentral:tRNA from 1 species